ACGGAGGUCCUCUCGUCGAAAUAAAAUACGCGAAAAAAAACGGCAAUCAGAAGGUAUAAUUCACUCGCGAACUCGCUCCACUCGUUCCGCUUCGGACUUUUGACGUUCCGGGCACGACCGGAUUCCGCGCUUCGGGCGCCCUCGUGCGAAGUCGGGAGCACUCGGCUGGCGCCGCAUCAACAGUCAGUCAAAUUCCGCGCCUAGAACAGUGAUGACACAAUCGACCAGCUACUCCGGUUAUAUAUAAACUUCUGCGUCAUUUUACGAGGGUUACGCCGAAAGAUGGAAUGCACGAUAAUUCACUUCACUCUUUCAAGUUUUCUAUCCUCCUUCCUGGCACCUAUUCAAAUCCCCCACCUGAUCGUGCAACUUGCUUAUUCAGCAGCUCAUCAGUUUCUAAAAAAAAAAAAGUUUUCAAAAACCGAGUGUGCUUUUUUACCUGGCGUACUCGUGGCGAUGGCGGCAGUAGUGUAAGGCGGCUGGCCCAUCUGAGCAUGACCGGCCAAGUGUCGGCCGUAUCCGUUCUGCAACCCCAGGCCGUGCUGCUGGGGAUGCUGGGAGAGGAUCCCGUGGAGCAGACGGGCUCCCGUGCUGCUGGUGGUAGUCGCGCUGGUGGAUCCCGGCUCCACUUUCACGCUCGCGAGGCCCAGUUGCUCCUUCUCGCCCGUGUCGUGCGGUUGGACCUCCCUGGUGUCCACUGCAACAGAUAAUGAGACAGACGAUUAAAUAAAUUUUUAUUUGAUACAAGAAUGUCAAAAACAGCUGUUUUUGACGUAUGUAUACUGAAAACAAUUUAUUU